rnacentral:rRNA from 1 species
GGAUGAGCCCGCGGCCUAUCAGCUUGUUGGUGGGGUAAUGGCCUCACCAAGGCGACGACGGGUAGCCGGCCUGAGAGGGCGACCGGCCACACUGGGACUGAGACACGGCCCAGACUCCUACGGGAGGCAGCAGUGGGGAAUAUUGCACAAUGGGCGAAAGCCUGAUGCAGCGACGCCGCGUGAGGGAUGACGGCCUUCGGGUUGUAAACCUCUUCAGCAGGGAAGAAGCGAAAGUGACGUAC